rnacentral:rRNA from 1 species
GGGUUGUGAGGUUAAGCGACUAAGCGUACACGGUGGAUGCCCUGGCAGUCAGAGGCGAUGAAGGACGUGCUAAUCUGCGAUAAGCGCCGGUAAGGUGAUAUGAACCGUUAUAACCGGCGAUUUCCGAAUGGGGAAACCCAGUGUGACUCGUCACACUAUCAUUAACUGAAUCCAUAGGUUAAUGAGGCGAACCGGGGGAACUGAAACAUCUAAGUACCCCGAGGAAAAGAAAUCAACCGAGAUUCCCCCAGUAGCGGCGAGCGAACGGGGAGGAGCCCAGAGCCUGAAUCAGCAUGUGUGUUAGUGGAAGCGUCUGGAAAGGCGC